rnacentral:snRNA from 1 species
GUGCUCACUUCAGCAGCACAUAUGCUAAAACUGGAACACAAUACAGAGAAGAUUAUCAUGGCCCCUGCACAAGGAUGACACGCAAAUUCGUGAAGCAUUUCAUAUUUUU